rnacentral:lncRNA from 1 species
AUCACACAAUAGCUGAAACAGAAAUAUUAUAGGACUAAGAACACAUAAAUGAUACUGAUCAAUGCAAAAGGUGAAGUCAUCACAGCGAGAUCAAAGGUUGAAACGCUUGUGGUAUAAUUGCUUAAGGAUUGGUAGCUGAUUCAGGUUUGGUGUCUUUGGAAGGGAAUGUGGACUUUGGUAACUCAGGCAAGUGGGGAAAAGUUGGCAGUUCAGGUUUUGGCAACUCAGGCAAGUGGGGAAAAGCUGGCAGUUCAGGCUUUGGAAACUCAGGCAAUUCAGGUUUUGGCAGCGUGGGAAUUUCAGGCUUCGACAACUCAGGCAAUUCAGGUAAUUUUGGCAGAGUGGGAAGUUCAGGUUUAGGAAAGGUUGGGACUUCAGGUAAUGGUGGAAGCUCAACCUUAGGAAGUAAUGGCAAGUCAGGCAAUUCAGGCUUAGGAAGCUCCGGGACCUCAGGUAAUGUUGUCUCUAGAAGCUGUCGUGCUUCUGCAGAGAUUGACAGAGCAACGAGUGAGAGCAGAACAAUGAGUGAAGGGGAGCGAAGAUUGGCCAUAACUAUGCAACAAGAUCAAUCAGCUGUAAAUACAAUUUAUCCUCACUUUUGUUUUGUGUGUGUUGAUGUUCACUUGUGUUGAGCUUUUAUAGAAGUGGGAAGUGAAGAAUGGGGAACUUCCAAAGGUGAUUUAGUGGGAAAAGUUGUGUUAGCUCAACUUCCCACCCAUAAGACUCCCACUGUUGGCAUGACCAACUAUAGACUUCCUUACAAGUGUAACCUUGCUAUCUUUCUAUAUGGAGUCCAGAGAUUGGUUAGAUUGAUAAUAAGCUAAAAUAUGGUUCUCACUUGUAAUCAUUCUCAGAAAUCAGAACACUUGUGAAGUUCAAGCUUUUUCACCUAUUUAAUAAUUCACUUCUUUCCUGUUCUACCUACAAAAGAUGAGAUUCUGAAGAAUGGUUCUUCUUUAGUUACUUUAAAAUAAUGUUCAACGAAGAUAGCCUCAUCUGCAAAGUUGGCCAACCUACACACUAAACUUUGACAUGUCUUUCUUUUUAUUGAAGCUCUGACUGAUCUUCACAUCACAUCCAAUUAUCCACAAGGUACUCUUCUAUUUGAAAUUAAGAAUUUUAUUAAAAAUUAAUUCAAUUGAUUUCUUUUAUAUCAAUCUCUUGGUUGGAAUGAGAUUCAAUUUUUUUGACUUAUAAAAUUUUCAUAUUAAAAAAAUUGAAACCAUGUGUAUUCUUGUAAGAAUUUAUUUAUAUUCUUUUUUUUUUCAAACUGAAUCAUUGCAAACAAAAGGACUAUAUAAGGUAGUAUAUAUGAUUCUCAGUUGUAAUUAUAACAGUUCAAAAUAUGUCUAAUCACAUUAGUUUCGGUAGAUCUUCAACAAACUGAAAAUUACUAAUGUUUACAACGGAAUCUGUCUCAGCAAUAUGUAAUCUCCAUAUGCUUUUUUAGUUUUCAGAAACCUUGUAAUUUUUACAGAAUAAAGGAAUUUUACCAUUACGGGUGUAACAUCUAGUUAAACUCCGAUGUCGGAAUCUCAACGUUCUGACGGAAUCUCCGUCGAGAUCCAGAAUCUCGAAGCUAAAAUUUUUAGAAGGAUAAAAUAGAGUUUUCAUAAAAUGAAUUAAAAAUUUUUCUUGGUGUGUUUUAAAAAAAAAUAAAAAAUUUAGAGGAGUUUUAAAGUUCGGCCGCCGAAGACGGCUCUUCCAGCCACUUAUAAAAGGCCUUCAACCCAAAAAUAUGAGAACUCUUUCUCUAUUUUCGAGCAGAGGUAAGUCCAUGCCCUUUUCCAGACAUUCUUGCUAAAAUUACUUCAAAUCUCUUGGAGAAUACAUGAGUUUUUACUUCAUUUUUUAAGAUUUGAGUUUGGAUUUCAAGCUUUAAACUUUGGAGACCUCCGAAAAUCGAUUUCCCAAUUCUCCAAAUCUUGGUUGUUGUGUUUUCUAUGUUUUUCAAGAGGUAAGUUCAAUCUUUGCUUUUCUUAUGCUUUUUGAAGGUUUUAAACCGAUAUUAUAAGUUGUUAGGACAUGCAUGAUUGAUUAUUCUAAAGUUUUAAAGUUUGAGUUAGUUUUGAUGAUGGAUGAUUUUCUCCUGGGAUUUUGUUGAUGCAUGUUGAGUUUAGAACAGUUUUUGAGGUCUCUUAUGCGUGUUAAGUGUGUAUGGUAGUCUUUAGCCUGUUGCAUGUAAGUUUGGGUUUGUUUAUUGGCUAUGAGCAUAGGGCAAAAUCAGGUUCUGCCUUACUGGAGAUCCUAGGUUCAGCCGCUGAAGCAAGGUUCGGCCACCAAAUCUGUCUGUAGAGGCAGCCAUUUGGCCACCUAACCUGCCGCUGAAAGUCCUCUGUUCAGCCUUUUUCAGCUUGUUUCCUACGUGUGUUCUUGUAUGUUCUUAGGGGUUUUCUUGAGGGUAGUUUAAGUAUUGUAAUAGUUAUGUUUGGUUCCUCAUUUAAAUCCAUCUAUGUAGGAUCGGACUUUGGAGACUGUAGAGGCUUGCAGUGAGAUAACUGCUUCAGUACUAGGCGUGCAUCAGUCAAAGGUGAGUAGAACUGAACUGAUAUAUUAUUUUAAAGAAAUCAAACUUUUUAAGCAUACUCAUACAUCACGAAUGUCAUGUAUAUACGAUUAGGUUGUUUUGCAUUAGAGUUCACGAAUAUAAUACAUUGCAUAAAUUAUUGUUGUUGUGGAUGGACGUUGGAUGACCCACUAGCCCUCGAGUAUGUUAUGAUAUGUUAUGAUGGAUAUGGAAAGACUAGGGUUGCCUAUUCUACGCCUCUGGCACUAUGUAAGGGAAAGACCAGGGCUGCCCAUUCUAUGCCCCUUGCACUAUGGAUAUGUUAUGUUAUAUUUAAGAGGAAAACCUGAGGAGCACUCGUCGUGGGCCGAGCACUAUUGAAAUCUGUAGAGGGUUACUGAUGACAAGUCCAUUUUGAUGUAAAUUGUUUGUGCUGUGAUGCAUUCAUACAAUCAUAUAUUUUAUUGAACUGUUUUUUUAUGUUCUGCUCACUAGACUCUUAUAGUUUAUCCCCUUUCCCCUAAUCCCAGGUUUGCAGGAUCAAAGUUAGCUCGGGAAGUCGGCUGAGUUGCUGGUAUAGCCUAUUGUAAUAGUAUAGCUAUGGAAAUAUAUUCAUUUGUGGAUUAGAAUUGUGCUUUGCCCGGGUUCUUCCUUGUAAUCCUUGUUUCAUGAUCAUUUUAUAUAAAAGUUUUUAAGUAUAAGUUUAUGUUUAAAUCGAGCUUGAGGCAUGUUAUGUCACACCCAUUCUCAAAACUGUGGAGAUGGAUAUGACCCGAAAAACUGACAGAACUUCCCCUGUUGUUAAUACAUAUAACUCAUAUGACCUGCUAUAAUUUCAAAAUAUAAAACAUAUAAGAGAUGAUUGAUAGCUAGACUGGUCAAUACAUAAUAUAUUUACAAUAAACAAAACACGUUCAUCAUUUGAAUUUACAAUCUAUACAUAAUCUGUCAAAAUUACAAAAAGAAAAGACAAGACCUAGGAUUGGUCCGACCUCCUCUAGACUCUGAGUGGACGAUGUGGAAGGAAUAACAAACUAGGAGAUGAGGACUGCUGAGCGGAUCACCAAAAAAAAACUGAAUAUUAAAAGAAAUAAGAGUGAGUACAACAUAUUCAGUGAGUGGAUAAAUAAAUAACAAAGGGGAAAAGAUAAGUUUAGGUAAUUAAUAGUACCAAAUAUUUAGCUAAAAUAAGUCAGCUGAAUAAAUACAAUUUAAUUCCUAGGCCUGGGCCUUAUAUGUUAUGUUGACCAUACCGAAGCAUUUGAUGAGGGCUCUAGUAUAGGUUUUAUGUUUUCAGUUACGAUGCAUGCACAAGUCGAGUCUUGGUUCAUGUAAUAAUUAUAUUUUUGUUGUUUGUAUGAUCAUGCAUGGAAUUAUAUCAUAUGUAAUAGGAUGUAUAGUAUGCUUGCUGUGGGCUCCAGUGACCUUAAGUCGAUUUGAACCCUAGCACCGGUAGUGGUCUGGUUCCCGGGUCGUUACAGAGUGGUAUCAAAGCCCUAGAUUCAUAUGACUGGGCCUAGAGUGUUGGGCUCAUAGAUGUUAUAGAGGGCAAAUACAAUUAGGAAAUAUUAUAUCCACUAGGAUAGAAUGUAGAGUCUUGUCAUGAUAUAUGUGAUAACCUCCAGAUCUUUCCUAGCCCAGGAAUAAGGUCGGGUCCAAAAGAAGGCACAGGUCCAAAGCCCAUCAGAUCAUACGCUCGAGAGGCGGCUCGACUUCACGAGCCUGGGCCGGCAACCCAGGAUGAUCCGGAUCAGAUAUGAGCACAAGCCCCAUAAGGGAGUAGGCCCAAUCACUCACCAGCUCUACCCGCAUGCUCUCUGGAGAGCAUUAAAUGGCCGUUACGCAUGGAGCAGGUGCCUGACACGCCCGUAUGUACGGGCCUGAGUGACAAGGACAGGAAGCACUAUAUAUCGGGGGGUCUCCUCUUGCAAGGGGGAUCUUCUUCUUUUUCUUCUCCUGCCUGGACUCCAUUUUUAUUUUCUCUGCAACUCUUGCCUAGAUAUACUACUCUUAUUCAUGAAACCUGACUUGAACGUCGGAGGGUCUCCGCUGGGGCAUCCCGGUGGACCCUUGACCAUUUUUCCUUAUUUUGCAGGUCCCUUUCUCAGAUAGAACAUGGAGAGACCCAUUUGACAGAUUCGUCUGGGAGCCCAAGAAGGAAUCAGAUCCACAUAAGAGGGGGCGAGGGAGGACCAGAUCUAACAAAUAUGGAGCCCAGGGAGAUUUAAAGUUAUCAAUAUGUAUAAUGAUGUAUAAUGUCAUGACUAUAUACAUGUGCAUUGAUGAUAUGAUAGGUAUGAUGUGGGUUCAUGUGUAUCCACAUGAACCAUAUGAUGCUAAUGCCUAUAUGUUUAAAUGAUUUUUCAGAAGACAGAAUGCAUGGCUUAUGUCGAUCUGUACGAUUGACUAGAGUCCCAUCCGAAAAAUGAGGGUAUAGACGCCCUUCCUCCUGCUGCUCCGUCAAGAGUGCGGUCAAGUAGAAAUAACAAGAAUGAAAAGUCAAGAGACCCUAUAAUGUCUUUUAAUAUAAACAAAAAGAGAACAGAUCCGAGUAGGAUGUUUGCAGAUGCCAGAAAAACAGUAGGAAAUGAUUAGAGGAGAGAUAGAAGUUUGGGUAUGAGUUUUGAAGUAGAGGGUGUGGGAGAGUCUGAAAGAGGAACAGAAGGCGUCAGACCAUAGGAUCCGCCUAUCCACCUCAGUACCAACCCUAUGCACAGGAACUCGGGUAUCCGAUGGAAAGUACAACAGAUUACUCUAGCUACCACCCAUACCCCUCAUUCAUACCCUAUCCUCCUUGCUAUUCAUUAUAUCCACCCUACCCUAUCUUAUGUUUUCGCCUCCUCCCCAUUACUAGAAUUUGGCAAACUCUAACUCAGGAAAUGUUGCACCACCUCCUCCUCCAGCAAAACCAGCUAGAAAAAAGUUUUUAUACCCAGAUAGAAAAAAGUUUUUUCUUCAAACUAUAUCAUUCAUUUUAUUUUAUUUACAAUUUUAAUUAAAUCAGUUUUUGAUAAUUUUUCAAAAAAUUAAAUUUGAAAUAAAACAGAUAUUUUUUUUAAAAAUUUUAGGACAUUAAUAAUUUUUAACUUUGAUUAGCAAUUUAUAAUAUUAAACAUUAUACUUUUUAAUUAACAACAAUUCCAUUUAAUUUUCUAAGUUCAGUAAUUCUCUUUAUGGCCCUGAACUAUUUAAUAAGAUUGAUGAGGGUCAUAGCAAAAACCAAAUAAAUAAACUGGAUCAAUUUUGUAUAUAGAAUAUAAACAUACAACGUACAUCAUACAAAAGCUGAAACAAAAAUAUUAUAGGACUAAAACUCACUUCAAAUUUAAGCAUGCAUAUAUAUAACAUAUGAAUCAGACACUUAAGAACACAUAAAUGAUACUGAUCAAUGCAAAAGCUGAAGUCAUCACAGCGAGAUCAAACGUUGAAACCCUUGUGGUAUAAUUGCUUAAGGAUUGGUAGCUGAUUCAGGUUUGGUGUCUUUGGAAGGGAAUGUGGACUUUGGUAACUCAGGCAAGUGGGGAAAAGUUGGCAGUUCAGGUUUUGGCAACUCAGGCAAGUGGGGAAAAGCUGGCAGUUCAGGCUUUGGAAACUCAGGCAAUUCAGGUUUUGGCAGCGUGGGAAUUUCAGGCUUCGACAACUCAGGCAAUUCAGGUAAUUUUGGCAGAGUGGGAAGUUCAGGUUUAGGAAAGGUUGGGACUUCAGGUAAUGGUGGAAGCUCAACCUUAGGAAGUAAUGGCAAGUCAGGUAAUUCAGGCUUGGGAAGCUCCGGGACCUCAGGUAAUGUUGUCUCUAGAAGCUGCCGUGCUUCUGCAGAGAUUGACAGAGCAACGAGUGAGAGCAGAACAAUGAGUGAAGGGGAGCGAAGAUUGGCCAUAAUUAUGCAACAAGAUCAAUCAGCUGUAAAUAAAAUUUAUCCUCACUUUGUUUUGUGUGUGUUGAUGUUCACUUGUGUUGAGCUUUUAUAGAAGUGGGAAGUGAAGAAUGGGGAACUUACAAAGGUGAUUUAGUGGGAAAAGUUGUGUUAGCUCAACUUCCCACCCAUAAGACUCCCACUGUUGGCAUGACCAACUAUAGACUUCCUUACAAAUGUAACCUUGCUAUCUUUCUAUAUGGAGUCCAGAGAUUGGUUAGAUUGAUAAUAAGCUAAGAUAUGGUUCUCACUUGUAAUCAUUCUCAGAAAUCAGAACACUUGUGAAGUUCAAGAUUUUUCACCUAUUUAAUAAUUCACCUCUUUCUUGUUCUACCUACAAAAGAUGAGAAUCUGAAGAAUGGUUCUUCUUUAGUUACUUUAAAAUAAUGUUCAAUGAAGAUAGCCUCAUCUUCAAAGUUGGCCAACCUACACACUAAACUUUGACAUGUCUUUCUUUUCGUUGAAGCUCUGACUGAUCUUCACAUCCAAUUAUUCAAGUUAAUCUUCUAUUUGAAAUUAAGAAUUUUACUAAAAAUUAAUCCAAUUGAUUUCUUUUAUAUAGAUCUCUUGGUUGGAAUGAUAUUCAAUUUUUUUUUAACUUAUAAAAUUUUUAUAUUAAAAAAAUUAAAACUAUGUGUAAUCUUGUUAGAAUUUAUUUGUAUUAUUUUCUUUCAAACUGAAUCAUUGCAAACACAAGGACUAUAUGAGAGAGUAUAUAUAAAUCUCAGUUGUAAUUAUAACAGUUUAGAAUAUGUCUAAUCACAUUAGUUUUGGUAUAUCUUGAACAAACCGAAAAUUACUAAUGUUUAUAACGGAAUCUGUCUCAACAACAUCUAAUCUCGAUAUGCUUUUCCAAUUAAUCUCGAUAUGCUUUUCCAAUUUUCAGAAGCCUUAUAACUUUUACAGAAUAAAAGAAUUUUACCACGGAGAGUUCAUUUAAUCUUUGAUUUGAUUUGAGUAAAAAUAAAUAAAUUGAAUUAAAUCAAACCAAAUUUUGAAGAGUUCAAACUUAUUUUUUAAAUUUUUUUUAAGUUUGAGUUUCAUUUUGAACUUGAGCCAAGUAUUAAUAAGCUUAAAUUUGGCUCAUUUAGCAAACGAAUUUAGAUAAAUCGAAUUUUUAUCGAGUUUAGUUUUGAAUAAUUUACGAAAAGUUCAAUUUAUUUACAUAUAUAUAUAUAAUAAGAUUUAGUUGAAAACUAAUACGUUUAAAACUAAAUAAUUUUAGUUAAAUAAGUAUAUAUAUAAAUUAGCUUUUAAAAUUAUAAAGGAUGAGUUUUUAAAUUUUAAUGAUUCAAAUAUCUAUAAAUUUUAAAAGUAUAAUUAAACUAUGCAAGUUGAACUUUAAAAAACUUAGAUCUGAUUCAUGAAAAUAUAUACAAAGUAUAAUUUAGUUCUCUUAUAAUAUUACUUUCCGUAUGCUUAUUUGAGACCGUUUAUAAGUUUGUUCGCGAGCUUGCUCAUAAAUUCGAAAAUGAGCUGAAUUCGUGAGUCUUAAAGAGUCUAAUACAAAUGAAUCUGAAAAUUAAGUUCAAUCUUGAUUCAUUUAGAAAUCAAGUUGAGUUUGAUUGAACUUUUUAUCGAAUUGAACUUUCAAUAAUUCACGGACAAUUUAAUCCAUUUACACCACUAAUAGUUAUUUAGGGUCAGAUAUAAUUGCGCUCUAUAAUAGUAGAACUAAAGAGUUGGUUCUAUUAAUUACCACAGAGCCAAUCUAUUAUUGGUCGUUGAUAGAUGCGCAUUGUGGGAGUAACCCUAAUGGAAAAAUUAAUUGAUUGAAAGCUUACUUUGUAGUCAAUAAAUUACCACUAAAAUAUGAGCUUGAUUACAAUAAUAUUUUGACUCAAAUGGCUAAAAUUUUAUCAAUUCGUCUUCUUGUCUCCUUAACAACAUCCACAUCAUUGGCCUCUUUAUUGAAUAGAUAAAAAAAAUUACUUUUUAUACGAAGAACUUAUAAAGAAAGUUCUUAUAAAGCAAUCAUCAGACCAUCAGAGUUUGUUGCUGAGAGGAUCAGGCAUGGUAUGCCAUUUAUGACAAAUACCACACGGGUUAAAAGUAGCCUGUAAGGAUGUUGUUUGGAUAGUUUAGUAAUGGGAUCCAACAGAUUAGGAUGUGUAGGAGUGAAGCCUAAUGUGCCCCUUAUAUGGGUCAUAGGCAAUCCUCCCCCUUGAGCUAGCUUUUGGGGUGAGUUAGGCCUGGCCCAAAUUUAACUUGGUAUCAAAGCCUCCCCAUCCGAUGUUGGGCCUCCCAUAAAUGUGUCACGCACCAGUAAAAUUCUGGGCGUGAGGGGGGUAUGUUGAAUCCCACAUCGGUUGUGGAAAGGGGUAAUGUGCCCCUUAUAUGGGUCAUAUAUAUAUAUAUCAUUAAAUAAAGCAUAAUUCUUGUAUAGAUUGAGUCUAUACGGACAUGUAGUAUAAAUUAUAUGUGAUUUGUUAUAGCUGUCACUACUAUUUUAUAUUACAGUCUGAUGACUGCUGGAUUUCUUCACCCCGACCUAAAGGCCAGGCCCCUGAAAACAGUCCAUAAUCCGAAGGCUUCAAUAUUCCCCUCGAGAGCCAGGUCUAGCCCGCUCAGUCACAGGGCCGGACUCUGCCUAGACUCCUCAAUCAAGCCGGCCCAAACCUCUCGGCCCAAUAAUCAGGCCCUCACCAGGCUCAACUUCAGCCCUACCAUUCAACCCAGCCCAGAAAGAGGAAAAUGACUAACCUGCCCCGCUGAUGGGUCCUUCCGCAUGCGUAUCAGAGGAGAAUUAAUGGUCGUUACGCAUGGAGCAGGCGCCUGACACAUCCGUACAUACAGAGCUGGGCGGCAGAAGACAGCUAGCAUUGUGGCAGAGAGACAGAUAUAUAUAUUACAGUAGAGGCCACGCAAAAGAGGGGGCUCUCUCUUCUUCUUCCUUCUCCUUCCUGGACACCAUUUUUAUUCUUUCUGCAACCCUUGCCUAAAUAUACUACUCUGAGCCAUAAAAUCUGACUUGAGCGUCGGAGGGCCUCCACCGGGGCACCCCCGGUAGGCCCCUGACCAUUCUUUCUUAUUUUACAGGUCCUUUCACCAGGUAAAACAUGGAGAGAUCCAUCAGGGAGCCCAGCAAGAAGGGACCCAGAAGAAAACCAGAUCUAUCAUGGACCAGGAAGAGGAAAAAAUUUAUCACAGUCCAUAUAAAACCGGUGUAGAUAAGUUUUUGCCCUUCAAGGAAAAUUGGUAAAAGAAUAUAAUUAGUAAAUUCUUUCAAUUUUUAGUAUAUGGAAAAUAAUUAUCACCCAUGAUUGAAUUAUUGGACAACAUCAUCAAAGAGAACUCUAGCAAAGUCCUUUCGUAUUUUCAUAUUUUCACUCUGUACCGAAUAAUUUUUGUUUUUUUUUUUUAAAUGAGAAUUGGAGAUUAGGAGAGUAGAACCUAAGCUUGUAAAUGCAGAUUGAAUAGUCUUAUAAUUGAAAUAUCUAAAUAAAAUCAUAAACAAAAUGAAUUUUAACUCAGAUCUUAACAAAUUAAUAUAAUAAUCUCAAUUUGAUCUAGUGUAUCUUUUGAUUUACAGUUUUUUAAGUCAAAUGUCAAUGAUAAAUUUAAAAUUUUAGUAGUUUUUUUCUCGUAACUCUAUUCCUAUUAUUAGAAUCUCUCUUUUACCGAAAAAUUCUUCAUAGUUAUGGAGGAAAAAUUUUUCUUUUUCUUGAAAAACUUAUCAUUUAUUUUAUUUUAUUUAUAAUUUUAAUUAAAUCGGUUGUUCAUAAUUUUUCAAAAAUUUAGAUUUGAAAUAAAAUAUAUUUUUUUUAAUUUUAGGCCAUCAGUAAUUUUUAAGUUCAGUGACUCAUAAUAUUAAAUUUAUAUUUUUUUAAUUCACAACAAUAUUUUAAUUUUUAAGUUCUGUAAAUUCUUGUGGCUCUGUGUGAAUGUGCUUGGAUCAUGAACUAUCAAUAAGAUUCAUCACAAUCAUACCCAAGAUCAAGAUCAAAUAAAUAAGCUGAUCAACUCUGCAAAUAGAAUAUAAACUGUACAUCAUACAAAUAUUUGAAAUAUAAAGAUUACAGGACUAACAUCCACUCCAAAUUUAAUCAUAUAUAUAUGUAAUCAAUGAUACUGAUCAAUGCGAAAGAUGAAGUCAUCACUGUGAGAUCAAACAUCGAAACAUUUAUGGUAUAGUUGUUUAAGGACUGGGAGUUGAUUGAGGAGGUUUUGUGUCCUUGGCAAGGAAUGUGGGCUUUGGUAACUCUGGCAAGUGGGGAAAAGUUGGCAGUUCAGGUUUUGGUAACUCAGGCAAUUCAAGUUUUGGCAAAGUGGGAAUUUCAGGCUUUGGCAACUCAGGCAAUUCAGGUUUUGGCAGUGUGGGAAGUUCAGGCUUAGGGAAGGCUGGGACUUCUGGUAAUGGUGGAAGCUCAACCUUAGGCAGUGAAGGCAAUUCAGGCUUGGGAAGCUCAGAUACCUCAGGCAAUGCUGUUUUUAGAAGGUGUCGUGCAUCUACGGAUUGACAGAGUGAUAAGUGAGAGCAUAAUGAUGAGGGAAGGGGAGCGAUGAUCGGCCAAAAUGCGACAAGAUCAACCACCUGCAAAGUGAAUAGUAAUUAAAAUUUCUGGACAAUUUUGUUUUGCGUGUUGAUGUUCACUUAGUGUUGAGCUUUUAUAGAAGUGGGAAGUGGAGAAUGGAGAACCUUCAAUGGUAAUUUGGUGGGAAAACUUGUGUCCUGUUAGCUCAACUUCCCAUCUAUAAUCCUCCAACAACUGGCAUGACCCAUUAUAGGCUUCCAUACAAAAGUAAUCUUUCCGUCCUUCUACAUGGAUUCAAGAGAUUAGUUGGAGAGAACCACAGCUAAAAGAUUGACAUUAAGCUAAAAUAUGUUGUCAGAAAUCACAACACUUGUCAAGUUCAAGCAUUUUUACAAAUUUAAUAAUUCACCACCACUAAACUUUGACAAAUCUUCCUUUAUUGCAACGCUUAUUGUUAUUGUUGGAAUUUAAUGACUGACCGAUCCAAAUCUCCAUGCGAUGAAAGUGUUGAAUUCCAAUUUAAUAUGAUGGCCUCUUCUAAAAUACUUCUAGACAAUUUAAAUUAAAUUUCAAUUAACUUAUCAUAUUAUAAAGCUUAUUAUUAUCAAUGUCAAGACUACGUUAUGAAAAAUAUCUUUCAUAUUUUUUGUUAUUUGGAAUAAUGAGAAAAAUUAAUCAAUAAAAAUAUUUUCUUGAUUAAAGAAAAAAUUAAAUCAUUUUAAAAAAAUACUGCUUCUUGGCUCUUUCUUUCUCAUCAAUUCUAUUUUCCUGUUGUGCUCUUCCAACAAAUCCAUAGUCACCAACUUGCCCUUUGAAAUUUAAAUUAUUGGACGACAUCAUCAACGAGAAUUCUAGCAAAGUUCUCUAAUAUUUUCUUCAUCAAUGUUGAAUUUUGAGAGGGAAGGGGAAUAAUACAUAUGAAUGCGACUAAAUAGUCUUACAAUUUUAUUGAUUGUAUUGUUAUUUAUACAGUCAAAUAUAAUUAAAAAAUCUAAAUAAAAUUAUAAAUAAUUUAAAUAUUAACUUAAAUAUUAAUAAAUUAAAAUAAUGAUUCAAAUUUAAAUUAUAUGAUUUAGCAUAUUUUUCGGUUUCUAAAUCAAAUAUCCAACGAUCAAUUUAAAAUUUUAGUACUCAUAAGCCCUUGGUAUUAUUAGAAACUCUCUUACUAAAAUUUUUUAAUAAUUAUAAAUAAAAAAGUUUUAUUUUUCUUUCAUAAUAUUAGAAAUAAAACCAUAUCAUUUAUUUUAUUUAAUUUGUAAUCGAAUUAAAUCGGUUGUUCAUGAUUUUUUGAAAAAUUAGAUUUAAAAUAAAAUGGAUAAUUUUUUAAUUUUAGGCCAUCAAUAAUUUUUAAGUUCAGUAAUUCAUAAUACUAAAAUUUUUUAAAAAAAUUCACAACAACAAUUUAAUUUUUAAGUUCAGUAAUAAUUUCUCUUUGUGGCUCUGCAUGAAAGUGCUUGGAUCAUGAACUAUUAAAUAAGAUUGAUCAGUCAUACCCAAAAUCAAAUAAAUAAGCUGGAUCAACUCAGUAUAUAGAAAAUGAACUCACAAGAUACAUCAUUCAAACAACUGAAACAGAAAUAUUAUAGGACUACCACUCACUGCAAAUUAAUCAUGUAUAUGUAAAAGAAGAUAUAAAUGAUACUGAUCAAUGCGAAAGAUGAAGUCAUCACUGUGAGAUCAAAUAUAGAAACACUUAUGGUGUAGUUGUUUAAGGACUGGUGGUUGAUUGAGGAGGUUUUGUGUCCUUAGAAGGCAAUGUGGGCUUUGGCAACUCAGGCAAGUGGGGAAAAGCUGGCAAUUCAGGCUUUGGCAACUCAGGCAAUUCAGGUUUUGGCAGUAUGGGAAGUUCAGGUUUAGGAAAGGUGGAGACUUCAGGUAAUGGUGGAAGCUCAACUUUAGGCAAUGAUGGCAACUCAGGCUUGGGAAGCUCAGGUACCUCAGGCAAUUCUGUCUCCAGAAGGUGUCGUGCAUCUACAGAGAUUGAUAGAGUGAUGAGUGAGAGCAUAAUGAUGAGGGAAGAGCGAAGAUCGGCCAUAAUGCUAU